UACGUAGGGCGCAAGCGUUAUCCGGAAUUAUUGGGCGUAAAGAGCUCGUAGGCGGUUUGUCGCGUCUGCCGUGAAAGUCCGGGGCUCAACUCCGGAUCUGCGGUGGGUACGGGCAGACUAGAGUGAUGUAGGGGAGACUGGAAUUCCUGGUGUAGCGGUGGAAUGCGUAGAGAUCCGGAAGAACACCGGUGGCGAAGGCGGCUAUCUGGACCGACAUUGACGCUGAGGCGCGAAAGCGUGGGGAGCAAACAGG
rnacentral:rRNA from 1 species